UUAACAUGGUAUACAACUGUACGGAUGGGACUGAGGAGUGUUAAUUUAAAAAGACGUGUUCAUAGCAAAACUGCAUGUUUAUUACUGACAUUUAAAUAUAAUGCUUAUAAGGUAUACAACAUACCUAUACUACAUACUUAGAACGUAUACAACUUACUUAUACGUAUACUACUAUACUACACGCCCAACCAAAAAAAGAAAAAAAAAUGCAAUAAUACAAUAAUUGUAUUUUUUUUUUAGUUUUAA